AGUGAACGCUGGCGGUAGGCCUAACACAUGCAAGUCGAACGGCAGCACAGUAAGAGCUUGCUCUUACGGGUGGCGAGUGGCGGACGGGUGAGGAAUACAUCGGAAUCUACUUUUUCGUGGGGGAUAACGUAGGGAAACUUACGCUAAUACCGCAUACGACCUACGGGUGAAAGCAGGGGAUCUUCGGACCUUGCGCGAUUGAAUGAGCCGAUGUCGGAUUAGCUAGUUGGCGGGGUAAAGGCCCACCAAGGCGACGAUCCGUAGCUGGUCUGAGAGGAUGAUCAGCCACACUGGAACUGAGACACGGUCCAGACUCCUACGGGAGGCAGCAGUGGGGAAUAUUGAACAAUGGGCACAAGCCUGAUCCAGCCAUACCGCGUGGGUGAAGAAGGCCUUCGGGUUGUAAAGCCCUUUUGUUGGGAAAGAAAAGCAGCAGGUUAAUACCCCGCUGUUCUGACGGUACCCAAAGAAUAAGCACCGGCUAACUUCGUG
rnacentral:rRNA from 1 species